rnacentral:rRNA from 1 species
GACGAACGCUGGCGGCGUGCUUAACACAUGCAAGUCGAACGGAAAGGCCCUGCUUGCAGGGUACUCGAGUGGCGAACGGGUGAGUAACACGUGGGUGAUCUGCCCUGCACUUCGGGAUAAGCCUGGGAAACUGGGUCUAAUACCGGAUAGGAGCCAUUUUUAGUGUGAUGGUUGGAAAGUUUUUUCGGUGUAGGAUGAGCUCGCGGCCUAUCAGCUUGUUGGUGGGGUAAUGGCCUACCAAGGCGGCGACGGGUAGCCGGCCUGAGAGGGUGGACGGCCACAUUGGGACUGAGAGACGGCCCAGACUCCUACGGGAGGCAGCAGUGGGGAAUAUUGCACAAUGGGCGCAAGCCUGAUGCAGCGACGCCGCGUGGGGGAUGAUGGCCUUCGGGUUGUAAACUCCUUUCGCUAGGGACGAAGCUUUUUGUGACGGUACCUAGAUAAGAAGCACCGGCUAACUACGUG